rnacentral:rRNA from 1 species
UACGGGGGGGAGCAAGCGUUGUUCGGAUUUACUGGGCGUAAAGGGCGCGUAGGCGGUCAGCACAAGUCAGUUGUGAAAUCUCCGGGCUUAACUCGGAAAGGCCAACUGAUACUGUGCGACUAGAGUGCAGAAGGGGCAACUGGAAUUCUCGGUGUAGCGGUGAAAUGCGUAGAUAUCGAGAGGAACACCUGCGGCGAAGGCGGGUUGCUGGGCUGACACUGACGCUGAGGAGCGAAAGCAUGGGGAGCGAACAGG